rnacentral:misc_RNA from 1 species
UCCGGUUUGUUCCCGGCAGUCUCGCCAGACAACCUCGUAACUGGCGACAAGGGUUGCGCUCGUUGCGGGACUUAACCCAACAUCUCACGACACGAGCUGACGACAGCCAUGCAACACCUGCCUUCCGGUUCCCUUGCGGGCACCCCAGCCUUUCAGCCAGGUUCCGGAGACGUCAAACCCUGGUAAGGUUUUGCGCGUUGCGUCGAAUUAAACCACACGCUCCGCUGCUUGUGCGGGGCCCCGUCAAUUCCUUUGAGUUUUAGCCUUGCGGCCGUACUCCCCAGGCGGUGCACUUACUGAGUUAUCGCCGGCACGGCAGGGGUCAACUCCCGCCAUACCCAGUGCACAUCGUUUACCGCGUGGACUAC